GAGUUUGAUCAUGGCUCAGGCUGUACGCUAGCGGCAGGCUUAACACAUGCAAGUCGAGGGGUAACGGGGAAGCUUGCUUCCGCCGACGACCGGCGCACGGGUGCGUAACGCGUAUACAAUCUACCUUGUACUGGGGUAUAGCCUUUAGAAAUGAAGAUUAACCCCCCAUAGUCUCUUAGAGUGGCAUCACUUCUAGAGUAAAGGUUACGGUAUAAGAUGAGUAUGCGUUCUAUUAGUUUGUUGGUGUGGUAACGGCACACCAAGACUACGAUAGAUAGGGGCCCUGAGAGGGGGAUCCCCCACACUGGUACUGAGACACGGACCAGACUCCUACGGGAGGCAGCAGUGAGGAAUAUUGGACAAUGGAGGCAACUCUGAUCCAGCCAUGCCGCGUGCAGGAAGACUGCCCUAUGGGUUGUAAACUGCUUUUAUACAGGAAGAAACACCUCUACGUGUAGAGGCUUGACGGUACUGUAAGAAUAAGGAUCGGCUAACUCCGUGCCAGCAGCCGCGGUAAUACGGAGGAUCCAAGCGUUAUCCGGAAUCAUUGGGUUUAAAGGGUCCGUAGGUGGAUAAUUAAGUCAGAGGUGAAAUCUUGCAGCUCAACUGUGAAAUUGCCUUUGAAACUGGUUAUCUUGAGUAUUUUAUGAAGUAGUUAGAAUAUGUAGUGUAGCGGUGAAAUGCAUAGAUAUUACAUAGAAUACCAAUUGCGAAGGCAGAUUACUAAUAAUCAACUGACACUGAUGGACGAAAGCGUGGGUAGCGAACAGGAUUAGAUACCCUGGUAGUCCACGCCGUAAACGAUGGUUACUAGCUGUUUGGACUUCGGUCUGAGUGGCUAAGCGAAAGUGAUAAGUAACCCACCUGGGGAGUACGUUCGCAAGAAUGAAACUCAAAGGAAUUGACGGGGGCCCGCACAAGCGGUGGAGCAUGUGGUUUAAUUCGAUGAUACGCGAGGAACCUUACCAGGGCUUAAAUGUAAGUUGCAUUAGUUAGAGAUAGCUAUUUCUUCGGACCACUUACAAGGUGCUGCAUGGUUGUCGUCAGCUCGUGCCGUGAGGUGUCAGGUUAAGUCCUAUAACGAGCGCAACCCCUGUUGUUAGUUGCCAGCGAGUCAUGUCGGGAACUCUAGCAAGACUGCCAGUGCAAACUGUGAGGAAGGUGGGGAUGACGUCAAAUCAUCACGGCCCUUACGUCCUGGGCUACACACGUGCUACAAUGGUAGGUACAGAGAGCAGCCACUGCGCGAGCAGGAGCGAAUCUAUAAAACCUAUCACAGUUCGGAUCGGAGUCUGCAACUCGACUCCGUGAAGCUGGAAUCGCUAGUAAUCGGAUAUCAGCCAUGAUCCGGUGAAUACGUUCCCGGGCCUUGUACACACCGCCCGUCAAGCCAUGGAAGUUGGAAGUGCCUGAAGUCCGUCACCGUAAGGAGCGGCCUAGGGUAAAGUCGAUAACUAGGGCUAAGUCGUAACAAGGUAACC
rnacentral:rRNA from 1 species